AUUGAACGCUGGCGGCAUGCCUUACCCAUGCAAGUCGAACGGUAACAGGCCGCAAGGUGCUGACGAGUGGCGAACGGGUGAGUAAUGCAUCGGAACGUGCCCAGUCGUGGGGGAUAACUGCUCGAAAGAGCAGCUAAUACCGCAUACGACCUGAGGGUGAAAGCGGGGGACCGUAAGGCCUCGCGCGAUUGUAGCGGCCGAUGUCAGAUUAGCUAGUUGGUGGGGUAAAGGCCUACCAAGGCAACGAUCUGUAGUUGGUCUGAGAGGACGACCAGCCACACUGGGACUGAGACACGGCCCAGACUCCUACGGGAGGCAGCAGUGGGGAAUUUUGGACAAUGGGCGCAAGCCUGAUCCAGCAAUGCCGCGUGCAGGAAGAAGGCCUUCGGGUUGUAAACUGCUUUUGUCAGGGAAGAAAUCUUCUGGGCUAAUACCCCGGGAGGAUGACGGUACCUGAAGAAUAAGCACCGGCUAACUACGUGCCAGCAGCCGCAGUAAAAC
rnacentral:rRNA from 1 species